rnacentral:rRNA from 1 species
UACGGGGGGGGCAAGCGUUGUUCGGAAUUACUGGGCGUAAAGAGUGCGCAGGCGGCUUGGCAAGUCGAGUGUGAAAUCCCCGGGCUUAACUUGGGAAUUGCGCUCGAAACUACCUGGCUAGAGUGUGGCAGAGGAAGGUGGAAUUCCACGUGUAGCGGUGAAAUGCGUAGAGAUGUGGAGGAACACCGAUGGCGAAGGCAGCCUUCUGGGCCAACACUGACGCUCAUGCACGAAAGCGUGGGGAGCAAACAGG